GACAGAGGGUGCAAACGUUGUUCGGAAUUACUGGGCGUAAAGCGCGUGUAGGCUGCUUCGCAAGUCGGAUGUGAAAGCCCUGGGCUCAACCCAGGAAGUGCAUUCGAAACUGCAGAGCUGGAGUCCUGGAGAGGAAGGCGGAAUUCUCGGUGUAGAGGUGAAAUUCGUAGAUAUCGAGAGGAACACCGGUGGCGAAGGCGGCCUUCUGGACAGUGACUGACGCUGAGACGCGAAAGCGUGGGGAGCAAACGGG
rnacentral:rRNA from 1 species